CCUACGGGUGGCAGCAGUGGGGAAUAUUGGACAAUGGGGGGAACCCUGAUCCAGCCAUGCCGCGUGUGUGAAGAAGGCCCUCGGGUUGUAAAGCACUUUCAGUGAGGAAGAACGCCUGGUGGUUAAUACCCAUCAGUAAAGACAUCACUCACAGAAGAAGCACCGGCUAACUCCGUGCCAGCAGCCGCGGUAAUACGGAGGGUGCGAGCGUUAAUCGGAAUUACUGGGCGUAAAGCGCGCGUAGGUGGCUUGAUAAGCCGGUUGUGAAAGCCCCGGGCUCAACCUGGGAACGGCAUCCGGAACUGUCAAGCUAGAGUGCAGGAGAGGAAGGUAGAAUUCCCGGUGUAGCGGUGAAAUGCGUAGAGAUCGGGAGGAAUACCAGUGGCGAAGGCGGCCUUCUGGACUGACACUGACACUGAGGUGCGAAAGCGUGGGUAGCAAACAGGAUUAGAUACCCCGGUAGUA
rnacentral:rRNA from 1 species